UGGGGAAUUUUCCGCAAUGGGCGUAAGCCUGACGGAGCAAUACCGCGUGAGGGAGGAAUGCCUUUGGGUUGUAAACCUCUUUUCUCAGGGAAGAAGAUCUGACGGUACCUGAGGAAAAAGUAUCGGCUAACUCCGUGCCAGCAGCCGUGGUAACACGGAGGAUGCAAGCGUUAUCCGGAAUCAUUGGGCGUAAAGCGUCCGCAGGUGGUUUCCAAAGCCUGCUGUUAAAGACUGGAGCUCAACUCCGGAACGGCGGUGGAAACUUGGAAACUAGAGUUCGGUAGGGGUAGCAGGAAUUCCCAGUGUAGCGGUGAAAUGCGUAGAUAUUGGGAAGAACAUCGGUGGCGAAGGCGUGCUACUGGACCGUAACUGACACUCAGGGACGAAAGCUAGGGGAGCGAAAGGUAUUAGAUACCCCUGUAGUCCUAGCUGUAAACGAUGGAAACUAGGUGUGGCUUA
rnacentral:rRNA from 1 species